CACCUUGACCGACCAGAUGUGGUUUCAGAGCAAAAAAAAGUCAGCUGCAGUAGUUAGAGAAGGAGGAGACGAUUGUGUUAUUUUGGCACAAACGCUCGGCGACUUCAGAAGAUACAACAUGCUUGCUAACAAAACAAAAAAUAACAUCGUUUCGACUGAGAGUGCAGAAGCAAAGCAAAUCUCUGUUUUGCUUCACUGUUGCUAAAACAAAGAACUAUCAACUGUGUCAACUCAAAAUAACGUAAUUCGUUCACUAGACAUAAACAAAAGGAUAACUUGAUGGAAUGCAGUGAGACAUUGUGAUGGCGAGGUGAAUUACGUAGAACUGGGACAUCUGCGAUCACGAGAAGAAGACAAAGAAGCAAACAGUUGGCAGCCAGAAAAAGGUAAGUCUUGUGAUGUUGGAAGAAACUCGGGUAUCUUACUUUUCCGAAGCCCAAGUAAAAAGGUAAGCAAAACAAAUGUCAAAAGUGGGCAAACACUUGUAAGAGAGUGCAAACACAGCAUU
rnacentral:rRNA from 1 species